rnacentral:rRNA from 1 species
CCUACGGGGGGCUGCAGUGGGGAAUAUUGGACAAUGGGGGGAACCCUGAUCCAGCCAUGCCGCGUGUGUGAAGAAGGCCCUCGGGUUGUAAAGCACUUUCAGUGAGGAAGAACGCCUGGUGGUUAAUACCCAUCAGGAAAGACAUCACUCACAGAAGAAGCACCGGCUAACUCCGUGCCAGCAGCCGCGGUAAUACGGAGGGUGCGAGCGUUAAUCGGAAUUACUGGGCGUAAAGCGCGCGUAGGUGGCUUGAUAAGCCGGUUGUGAAAGCCCCGGGCUCAACCUGGGAACGGCAUCCGGAACUGUCAAGCUAGAGUGCAGGAGAGGAAGGUAGAAUUCCCGGUGUAGCGGUGAAAUGCGUAGAGAUCGGGAGGAAUACCAGUGGCGAAGGCGGCCUUCUGGACUGACACUGACACUGAGGUGCGAAAGCGUGGGUAGCAAACAGGAUUGGAUACCCCAGUAGUC